GACGAACGCUGGCGGCGUGCUUAACACAUGCAAGUCGAACGGAAAGGCCCUGCUUUUGUGGGGUGCGCGAGUGGCGAACGGGUGAGUAACACGUGAGUAACCUGCCCUUGACUUUGGGAUAACUUCAGGAAACUGGGGCUAAUACCGGAUAGGAGCUCCUGCUGCAUGGUGGGGGUUGGAUAGUUUCGGCGGUUGGGGAUGGACUCGCGGCUUAUCAGCUUGUUGGUGGGGUAGUGGCUUACCAAGGCUUUGACGGGUAGCCGGCCUGAGAGGGUGACCGGCCACAUUGGGACUGAGAUACGGCCCAGACUCCUACGGGAGGCAGCAGUGGGGAAUAUUGCACAAUGGGCGGAAGCCUGAUGCAGCAACGCCGCGUGCGGGAUGACGGCCUUCGGGUUGUAAACCGCUUUCGCCUGUGACGAAGCGUGAGUGACGGUAAUGGGUAAAGAAGCACCGGCUAACUACGUG
rnacentral:rRNA from 1 species